GAUAUGAAGUAGUACUGAGUAAGAAAACUGAUAAACUUCCUGACAUUUUUAUGGUACCAUAACAACUUUUCACACACAAUGAAAACUAUCAUGUAGGUUUAAUCAGAAUUAUUAAGCAUACAUUUUUAAUAAAACAGCGGCGAAGGCUGAGGGGAGAUCAGAUAGUAAUUUAUAAAAUUACGAGAGGCGUGGAUAGAGUAGACAGCCAGUAUCUUUUACUCAGGGUUCAAAUAUCUGAACCAGAGGGCAAAGGGCAUGCAUUUAAGUUUUAAAAUGGCACUGGGAAAACGCAACGAUGCCUUACUGGCAGCAAACAAAACUACUAACUACAGUAUUAAUCGCACUUUUUCUGAACAUUGGUCACUGUAUUCGAUAACCUAUAACUUCCACUUUGGAGCUGAACUUUUGAACCGCCUGCACAACUUGACACUUUUGCAGCAUGAACGGAAGUCUCAAAGGUGCAAGACAGAUGCAGUGUGGCGUGUACAGGCUGAAUCGAGGUGGCGGGACCUGAGCCCAAGAGCGAAGACCAACCCAGUAUUUGACUGACUUAAGAGCUGGGCUGGAUUGGGAAGGCCAGAUAUAGGCUGAACUGAGGUGGCAGUACCCAGGCCCAACAGUGUAUUGAAGUGGCAGGGCCUGGGUCUGAGAGUAAGGAAUGAGCCAAUGUUUGGCCAAUUUAAGCACUGGCCGAUUGAAAAGGUCAGGAUGUCGGGGCCUGAGGCAGUCGACGGGCCGGUGUUCAGCUCACUGCUCAGCAGGAUUUACUCAUCUCUGCACCGAACCAGCAACUGACAGGUUCCCAGAGCAGCUGCAGUGAUGACUGGCUUUGUGGCUGGGAACUCAUUUUCAUGCACCUAUUUAGUUUAGAAUGUUAUUUGCAUACUUAAUAUUGUUUGCACAAUUUGUUCUUUUUUUUGUACUUUGGGUGUUUGAUCAACUUUUUUUUAAUGGGUUCUAUUGGGUUUCUUUUUUUUGUGAUUGCCUGUAAGGAGAAGACUCUCAAGACUGUAUAUAGUAUACAUAUUGUACCUUGAUAAUAAAUGUAUAUUGAACAUUGAGAGGGGCUGAAUUCUAAAGAGAUGAGCAGGACAAGAUUUUUUUUUAAAAAAACAGAGUGGUGGGUGCCUGGAAUUCUCUCCCUGGGAUGGUAAAUAUGUCAGAGGGAUUCAAGAGGCUCUCUAAUAGGCACACAAAUGUACAGGAAAUGCAGGGAUUUCGACAUUGUGUAGGCAGAAAGAUUAGUUUGGUUGGGCAUCUGACUCCUAAUUUAAUUAGAGUGGCACAACAUGUGCUAUUAAAUUUUUGUAAUUGAUUCUGAUAUUUUGCAAAGCACAGCAUGAAAUGCUUUUUUCCCCUUCAAUCGCCAAGAAGUUGAAAGAAACUUUACUAUGUUUCCCUGGUUUCUUAUGACCGCAUCAGGUGACAGAGCAGAAACUUGACCAAGAUGAGGUGGGAUGACGGAUUCACAAGGCUCAAGGUCCCAGUCCCCAGAUCUAAUGCUGGAAGCACUCCGGAUGGAAUUUAUUUUUCUUUGAACGGGGUAGGGACCUGCUCAUUGUCAAUCUCAAUGACACUUCAAGGUUAACAAAUCAGCUGAGAAGCAGCCCACGGCCACAUUGUUUUGGGCUCAAGUCGCAUUUCAGAUAACUGAACACACAAGAACUGAUAUUUCUAUGGCUUAAUGAGCAGCUUACUCUCUGCCUUUUCAGGGAUCAGAAGAUGAGGAGUUUGCAGAACUGUGCAGAGUGGAAACUGUUGGAUUGAUGGACCAAAUUGCAGCCUUUUAUACAGCAACCAUUUUGUGGUUAGCACAGUAAAAGAAAAAAAAAUAAAAUUAAUUCAUGACCUUAGGAAGAGCCCUUGAAUAGUUCUCCUAGCCUCCUGAUAUCUAAUUGUUUCGGCUGAUGGCCACUCCAGUAAAGUUAAAAAUUCACCAUAAUCCCACUGCCAUUCCUUUCAUUGUGUGGUGACUGAAUAGAGAACGCUCUUUAAUA